GACGAGUUUGAUCAUGGCUCAGGAUGAACGCUAGCGGCAGGCCUAAUACAUGCAAGUCGAACGGAUAUAUGUUUUUCGGAAUAUAUAUUAGUGGCGCACGGGUGAGUAACACGUACAUAACUUGCCCUCAAGCGGGGGAUAGCCUUGGGAAACUGAGAGUAAUACCCCAUAGAAUUAUUGGACGGCAUCGUUUGAUAAUUAAAACUACGGUGUUUGGGGAUAGAUGUGCGUCUGAUUAGCUAGUUGGUGAGGUAACUGCUCACCAAGGCGACGAUCAGUAGGGGGCGUGAGAGCGUGGCCCCCCCACACGGGUACUGAGACACGGACCCGACUCCUACGGGAGGCAGCAGUAAGGAAUAUUGGUCAAUGGAGGGAACUCUGAGCCAGCCAUGCCGCGUGAAGGAUGACGGCCCUCUGGGUUGUAAACUUCUUUUGGAUGGGGCGAAAAAACGGGAUUUAUCCUGGACUGACGGUACCAUCAGAAUAAGCACCGGCUAACUCCGUG
rnacentral:rRNA from 1 species